rnacentral:rRNA from 1 species
UCUAGAGGCUCCGGCAAUGGACGAAAGUCUGACCGAGCGACGCCGCGUGUGGGAUUGAAGGCCUUCGGGUCGUAAACCACUGUCAGAGGGGAAGAAUGCCUGUAUGGCGAAUACAGGAGUGACGGUACCCUCAGAGGAAGCCCCGGCUAACUCCGUGCCAGCAGCCGCGGUAAUACGGAGGGGGCAAGCGUUAUUCGGAUUUACUGGGCGUAAAGGGUGCGUAGGCGGUCGCGCAAGUCUGAUGUGAAAUCUUCACCACUCAACGGGAAGAGGUCAUUGGAAACUGCGCGACUUGAGUUUGGUAGAGGCUAGCGGAAUUCCUGGUGUAGCGGUGGAAUGUGUAGAUAUCAGGAAGAACACCUGUGGCGAAGGCGGCUAGCUGGGCCAAUACUGACGCUGAGGCACGAAAGCGUGGGGAGCAAACGG